rnacentral:RNase_P_RNA from 1 species
UGAGUCGACCGGGCAAUCGCUGCCUUGCAUACGUGUUUACGAUAUGUAAGCAUACGCGCAAGGGGGAGGAAAGUCCGAGCUCCAUAGGACAAGGUGCCAGGUAACGCCUGGAGAGCGCAAGCUUAUGACCAGUGCAACAGAAAGGAUACCGCCAGAAAUGGUAAGGGUGAAAUGGCGAGGUAAGAGCUCACCGCUUGUACAGUAAUGUAUGAGGCAAUGUAAACUCCACCUGGAGCAAGAUCAAAUAGGCCUUCUAUAGUCUCGUCCGGACUGAAGGCGGGUUGAUUGCUUGAACUGGCGAGCGAUCGUCAGUCUAGAGGAAUGAUUGCCACUGCUUUGCAGGACAGAACUCGGCUUACAGGUCGGCUCAACUA